rnacentral:lncRNA from 1 species
AUUUAGAAAUGAAUAUCAAGAAAGUAGGGGCGCACGAUAUGCUAAAUAUUCUUGGCACACAUUAAGUCAAGGAAUACUAUAUUGAGAUACUGGUAAAACGAUAAUAAAGGCAACCCCUACCAAUGAUGAUGAAGACUCUGGUGCACCAGCUAGUGGAAUUCGACAAAAUUUAGAUCCAAAUACAUUUGGAAACUUCCUCCCAACUUAGUUCCAGGUUGUUGAAGAAGUUAGUAAACCUGAGGAUGGAGGUGACAACCCUAAAAAGUUAAAGGGGAAUGUAAUAACUUUGAAGACCAUGAUGGUACCUCCCUGCCUCCACUUCUUUGAUGUUGGUACGUUUACUAAGCCUACACCACGGGGUCACAGAACAACCUCUCCUACGAAAGAUAAAAAGACUAAGUCAGUCAAUAUUUGAAGCUCGCAAAUGGAAAUAUCACUAAGCUUUAUCCAACCAAUCAAAAUCAAUAAGAAAUCUAUGGUGGUGAUAGUUGAGGAUUCCAUCAAAACAUAAGAGGUUUAUAGGGCCAUAACACUAAUUGGUUAUGUGAUAAGGGAUACACCAUACGAGCGGUCAAUGGAGAAUUAUGUUGAUCAUAUAUGGAACUUUGUAUCUAAGCCUCAAAUCCUCUACUAUGAUGAUGGUUAUUAUAUGUUUUAUUUAAAUACAAUUGAGGAUAGAGAUUUGGUUAUGGAAGUUGGAAAAUAUAUAUUUCAAAACAAACUAUUUAUAUGACAUCAUUGGGAGACUGAUUUUGAGUUCAACCCGGACUGCCUUAGUAAAAUUCCCCUAUGGGUAAAGUUUCAUGGCUUGUCUGUGGGGUACUAAUCUGCUGAAGCAAUUAGAAAAAAAGAGUAUAGUGCAAAAAAAAUUAUAUACUGAUAAAGUAAUUGCUCGAAUGGAAAGGAUAUCAUAUGCGAGGGUACUUAUCGAGAUUGAUGUGUCCAACGUCUUGCCUGAGAGUAUUGAGUUGAUUGUCCAAUCAGGUGUCUUCCAAUAGAGGGUCACUUAUGAGUGGAGCCUAAAUUUUACAAUGAAUUUUUAAAACAUGGCGAUGCAAAUUGUUGGAAGAAUGUGCAAGAACAACCAAUAGAGGGCCAAAAAUAGGAAGGAAUUCCAAGAUGAAGAAGGAGGUGGAGAAGACAUAUUCUCCCUGUCCAGGAAUGGCAAACACCACCAGAUGAGAAGCUAGAGAAUAUACAACAGGAGGAAGAAAAGUAGCAGAACCAAGUAAACACUCAACUUCAACCUAUAGAACAUUAGAGUGUUAAUGCAACACAGAGUGAAGAGGUCUCUCAGGAGGGACAUGAGGCUAGCACAUAUGUUCCUCACUUUAAAAUGCAGAUUAAUGGGCUAAGAACCCCUGGGAUGAGUAGAGCUGGUAGGAGGAAUCCCUUUAACCCCCCAUGAUUUAUUAGCACUUAGAACAUUAGAGGAAUUAAUCAAGCCCUCAAAUAGAAAGAGUUGAUUCUCUUUCUAAAGAAGAAUAAGGUAGAUUUGUAGGGUGUGUUGAGAUUAGUCAAGGAGAGAAAUGCUAUGAAUAUACUAUAGAAAUUUACAGCUGACUGGAACUACUCCUGUAACUACCUAAUAUUGAAUUAGGUAGGGUGUGGUCACUUUGGAAAAAACACUUAAUUAUUCAAGUGCUAGAUGUACAUGAGCAGUUCAUUCACUAUCUGGUGGAGAAUCAAGAUACUCAGUUUAGUGCUCUGAUCACUGUGGUAUAUGCUAGAAAUGAAUUAUAGUAGAGAGAACUAUGAUGUAAGGAACUAAAGGGGUUGGAGCUUAAAUAUAAAUUCCUUGAAUGAUAAUUGGUGACUUCAACAAUGUUCUUAUUACUAAGGACAGAAUCGGUCAUCCAAUUAUUCAAACGAAGGUGCAGGGUUUUCAGGACUUGCUAGCUGAUCUACAACUCACUCCUCUUAGAAACAAAGGUAGUUUUUUCACAUGAAGAAACAAGCAGCCUAUGCAAAAAAGAGUAUACAGUAGAAUAGAUUGGGCAUUGGGCAACCUUACAUGGCAAAGCCUAUUUACUAACAUUGAAGUUGAUGUCCUC